rnacentral:tRNA from 1 species
GGGGGGGAGGCGAAUAUCGGUUAAGUCGCCCCGGGCUGUAAUCCCGGAGUCUGCUGGACAGGGUGAAGGUUCAACUCCUUCUCCCCCCA